UGGGGAAUUUUGGACAAUGGGCGAAAGCCUGAUCCAGCAAUGCCGCGUGUGUGAAGAAGGCCUUCGGGUUGUAAAGCACUUUUGUCCGGAAAGAAAUCCUUGGCUCUAAUACAGUCGGGGGAUGACGGUACCGGAAGAAUAAGCACCGGCUAACUACGUGCCAGCAGCCGCGGUAAUACGUAGGGUGCAAGCGUUAAUCGGAAUUACUGGGCGUAAAGCGUGCGCAGGCGGUUUGCUAAGACCGAUGUGAAAUCCCCGGGCUCAACCUGGGAACUGCAUUGGUGACUGGCAGGCUAGAGUAUGGCAGAGGGGGGUAGAAUUCCACGUGUAGCAGUGAAAUGCGUAGAGAUGUGGAGGAAUACCGAUGGCGAAGGCAGCCCCCUGGGCCAAUACUGACGCUCAUGCACGAAAGCGUGGGGAGCAAAACAGGAUUAGAUACCCUGGUAGUCCACGCCCUAAACGAUGUCAACUAGUUGUUGGGGAUUCAUUUCCUUAGUAACGUAGCUAACGCGUGAAGUUGACCGCCUGGGGAGUACGGUCGCAAGAUUAAAACUUAAA
rnacentral:rRNA from 1 species